GAGUUUGAUCAUGGCUCAGGAUGAACGCUGGCGGCGUGCCUAAUACAUGCAAGUCGAACGGAGUUACGAUGAAACCUAGUGAUUCGUAACUUAGUGGCGGACGGGUGAGUAACGCGUGGAUAACCUGCCUUACACUGGGGGAUAACACUUAGAAAUAGGUGCUAAUACCGCAUAAGCGCACGGAGCCGCAUGGCUCAGUGUGAAAAACUCCGGUGGUGUAAGAUGGAUCCGCGUCUGAUUAGCUGGUUGGCGGGGUAGAAGCCCACCAAGGCGACGAUCAGUAGCCGGCCUGAGAGGGUGACCGGCCACAUUGGGACUGAGACACGGCCCAAACUCCUACGGGAGGCAGCAGUGGGGAAUAUUGCACAAUGGGGGAAACCCUGAUGCAGCAACGCCGCGUGAGUGAAGAAGUCAUUCGUGAUGUAAAGCUCUAUCAGCAGGGAAGAAAAUGACGGUACCUGAGUAAGAAGCCCCGGCUAACUACGUGCCAGCAGCCGCGGUAAUACGUAGGGGGCAAGCGUUAUCCGGAUUUACUGGGUGUAAAGGGAGCGUAGACGGCCAGACAAGUCUGAAGUGAAAAUCCAGCGCUUAACGUUGGAAGUGCUUUGGAAACUGCCGGGCUAGAGUGCAGGAGGGGCAGGCGGAAUUCCUAGUGUAGCGGUGAAAUGCGUAGAUAUUAGGAGGAACACCAGUGGCGAAGGCGGCCUGCUGGACUGCAACUGACGUUGAGGCUCGAAGGCGUGGGGAGCAAACAGGAUUAGAUACCCUGGUAGUCCACGCGGUAAACGAUGAUUACUAGGUGUCGGGGGGCUAGAGCCCUUCGGUGCCGUCGCAAACGCAAUAAGUAAUCCACCUGGGGAGUACGUUCGCAAGAAUGAAACUCAAAGGAAUUGACGG
rnacentral:rRNA from 1 species